AUUGAACGCUGGCGGCAGGCCUAACACAUGCAUGUCGAACGGUAGCACAGAGAGCUUGCUCUCGGGUGACGAGUGGCGGACGGGUGAGUAAUGUCUGGGAAACUGUCUGGUGGAGGGGGAUAACUACUGGAAACGGUAGCUAAUACCGCAUAAUGUCGCAAGACCAAAGAGGGGGACCUUAGGGCCUCUUGCCAUCAGAUGUGCCCAGAUGGGAUUAG
rnacentral:rRNA from 1 species